rnacentral:tRNA from 1 species
GGUUGUAUAGUGUAGCGGUUAGCACGUGGGAUUUUGACUUCAUAUCAAAAUCACGGAUAUCUUAUCCUUUCCCGAAUCCCCGGUUCGAGCCCGGGUACGACCU